AUGACGGCCCUGUUUCCUGGACAUGUUGAUCAACUUUAUGUCAGGAAGAAAGAGAGAAAGAUGGCAGAAACGGUGUCUGUUCUUUGUAUUGGAAAAGCACACACUUCCCAAGAGUACCUGCCCACAGAUUUGAGUUUACCUGUCCCUGCAUGUUCACAUCCACGUUCUUCCAAGGAAGGCUGGAGACUUUCACAGGAAUGACAGCAUCUAUGAUGCGAUUCCUUCUCAGACAGUGAGAAACCUGGCUCUCAUUCUCCGCAACAUAUAUGCUCAUUUGUUCAGUGUAAGGACGCUCCUAGGGUUCUGCCAUUCUUCCCUCUGCUCUCAUCCUCUCUACUCUGCUUCCUCAGACACCNNGCACCACUGCCCCACUGAAUGCGACAUCCCCUCCCUACCCUGCACUCACCAAAUACCCCUCCCUCUCCCCACCCACCUCCUAAGACACUGUUAUCUCUCUCCAGGAUGGAAAGGAGCAGGAAGGUGGGAAAUGAAGGGAAGGGAAGAUCACUAUGCCUUUCCACUGAUGGAUGGGUUUGAGACUCUCCCAAAUGUUUUCCACAACACACAUGCAUUUGUGUUUAAUGAACAAAUCUUCCUGCUCUAUCCACUAACUUUCCUUUACUCUCUCAGCAUUACCUACUUCUCUCCAAGGCUGCUGAGCCAACUAGGCAUAAAGCUCUUACCCUGGAGAAAAUGAAGAGCUGGAUGGUUUGGGUGGUGGUGUCGGGGGACUGGCAGCUGGGACCCAGACGUUUAGCUCAAGACCUUUCUGUCCCCAGGCUUGUUUAAUACUGUCAUUCACUGUAUUGUUUUCUCUAUCAAAGCUCUUUGAAAAUAUGUUAACAUUCAGUUUCCAGUAUCACUUUGGACAUAAAAUGGUGAGAAACUAACUCAUUCUGGUUGUUUUCCCUUCCAAAGAACCAGUACUACAAAGGCACACAUAAAGCCUCUUAAGAUACAAAGAAAGCACCUUGCAGAGCAUAAUAAUAAAUUGUGUCACUGUGUAAUCUUUAACAGGGGCCGUGUUUUCCACACUCAUAGAGCAAAUUGAUUCUUGAAUCUUUGUUAGUUCGCUGUGUCUAAUCGAUGGGCGAAUUUCUCUGGGGGAAGAAUGGAGUGGAACACUGUAUUUCCUCAACUAAUUUUUCAAGCCAGCUGAGUCCCCAAGCCUCGUAAGUUUCCUGCCAUUCAUCUUUUCCUUCAAUUAAGAACUCUCAUUCAUUUCCUAGAUUGCUUGUUUAUCUAAAUAAUCUUUUCCUAGGAAAAUAUGAAAUGUGUUAUUGGCAACAUUCUUGGUAACCUUAAUGGAACAAAGUCAUAAGCCCUGCCUAAGGGAAGUUAUCAUAAAUCUUAUAUCUCAGGAAUCUGCAAAGAGUCCCAGGUGGGUAAGCAAGUGGCCAGUGUGUUGCAGGGGGGGUGGGGGGGUGUGGANNNNNNNNNNNNNNNNNNNNUGUGGUAGGAGUGGAGAGAGCUACCACGACAUGUCUGAUCUCAAGAAUGUCCAAGGUUCCCCAUGCAGGGAUGGAUAAAUGACAGUGCAUCACUCAUGCCUGCCCUCUGAAGCCUUUCCAGUAGAAAUGUUACAAUUUAAUCUCACAUGUCACAAAUCAAACCCCAACUUGAAAACUACCUUUCCCAAAAAUGUUGAACACAUCCCAACUAGAGUGCCUCUCAGAGGAAGGGCUGUGUCUUGGUAGCAGCCAUUGCCUCCACUGGAAGUGUUCACGGUGCACUGGUGUUCACACUGCACAUGGUUGUUGCAGUAGCCUGGCUUUUUGCAAUUUGUGUGACACUGGGAAACUUGUUGAAAUUCUUCUUGACUCAGUUACUUCAUUCCUUAAGUGGGGAUAAUACUGUCUACCUUUCUGGAGAUUGUGAGCAUUAAAAGGGGUUUAAAACAAAAUGCUGAGCUAAGUAACUAAGCAUUUGAUAAAUAGUAGCUAUGACUCAUUAUUGCUUAUUGUUGCUUCUGGACCCUGAGCCCAGGGUUUAUGUAUUAUUUAUCUCAUUAAUUGUCACAGAAUUAAAUAGAUAUGAAAGCACCACUUUUCAGAGAGGGAGACUAAAUACUAGGGAGUUUAGAUAACAUUCAUACAUCAUACAGCUAGGAAAAUGGCAUAUACCAAGUAAGGUGAUCUUUCUGUACUGCUAAGCUAUACUGGAUCAAGCUGCUUACAAGUUAUGACUGAGAUCACUAGAUAUCAGAUUUAUGGAAGAGCAAGUUGAUAUCUUCUGAGUAACCAAGUUCCAUGAGGUAGAAAGGUCCCUGUCAGUGAAGAGAUUCCAGCAGAGACCACUUGCCCCUUCCAGGGAAGUGCCAUUGCAUGAGAGACNNNNNNNNNNNNNNNNNNNNNNNNNNNNNNNNNNNNNNNNNNNNNNNNNNNNNNNNNNNNNNNNNNNNNNNNNNNNNNNNNNNNNNNNNNNNNNNNNNNCUGGAGGAGGGCAUGGCAACCCACUCCAGUAUUCUUGCUAGGAAAAUCCCGUGGAUGGAGAAGCCUGGCAGGCUAUGGUUCAUGGGGUCGCAAAGAGUGCGAUACGACUAAAGCCACUCAGUUCAGUUCAGUAGCUCAGUCGUGUCCAGCUCUUUGUAACUCCAUGGACUGCGGCUUGCCAAGGCUUCCCUGUUCAUCACCAACUGCCGGAGCUCACUCAGAUUCAUAUCCAUCCAGUUAGUG
ensembl:lncRNA